rnacentral:rRNA from 1 species
GAGUGAACGCUGGCGGUAGGCCUAACACAUGCAAGUCGAACGGCAGCACAGUAAGAGCUUGCUCUUACGGGUGGCGAGUGGCAGACGGGUGAGGAAUACAUCGGAAUCUACUUUUUCGUGGGGGAUAACGUAGGGAAACUUACGCUAAUACCGCAUACGACCUACGGGUGAAAGCAGGGGAUCUUCGGACCUUGCGCGAUUGAAUGAGCCGAUGUCGGAUUAGCUAGUUGGCGGGGUAAAGGCCCACCAAGGCGACGAUCCGUAGCUGGUCUGAGAGGAUGAUCAGCCACACUGGAACUGAGACACGGUCCAGACUCCUACGGGAGGCAGCAGUGGGGAAUAUUGGACAAUGGGCGCAAGCCUGAUCCAGCCAUACCGCGUGGGUGAAGAAGGCCUUCGGGUUGUAAAGCCCUUUUGUUGGGAAAGAAAAGCAGCAGGUUAAUACCCCGCUGUUCUGACGGUACCCAAAGAAUAAGCACCGGCUAACUUCGUG